UACGGAGGGAGCUAGCGUUGUUCGGAAUUACUGGGCGUAAAGCGCGCGUAGGCGGCUUUGUAAGUUAGAGGUGAAAGCCCGGGGCUCAACCCCGGAACUGCCUUUAAGACUGCAUCGCUUGAAUCCAGGAGAGGUGAGUGGAAUUCCGAGUGUAGAGGUGAAAUUCGUAGAUAUUCGGAAGAACACCAGUGGCGAAGGCGGCUCACUGGACUGGUAUUGACGCUGA
rnacentral:rRNA from 1 species